UCAGAUGGCCGGGUGACCGCGGGCGCGCAAGCGUUCGAGGAAAGUCCGGGCUCCACGGAAAAACGGUGCCGGAUAACGUCCGGCGGGGGCGACCCCAGGGAUAGCGCCACAGAAAUCAAACCGCCUAAGUCUUUCGGGACCGGCAAGGUUGAAAUGGUGCGGUAAGAGCGCACCGCGCGACUGGCAACAGGAGCGGCACGGCAAGCCCCACCGGGAGCAAGACCAAAUAGGGACGGUAUGUUGGCUUUUCCGGUCAACCGUCCGGGUCGGUCGCGCGAGGCGUUCAGCGAUGAACGUCCCAGAGGAAUGGUCACCCCUUCAGCAAUGAAGGACAGAACCCGGCUUAUAGGCCAUCUGAUGCU
rnacentral:RNase_P_RNA from 2 species